rnacentral:rRNA from 1 species
AUUGAACGCUGGCGGCAUGCCUUACACAUGCAAGUCGAACGGUAACGGGCCUUCGGGUGCCGACGAGUGGCGAACGGGUGAGUAAUGCAUCGGAACGUACCUUUCAGUGGGGGAUAACGUAGCGAAUGUUACGCUAAUACCGCAUAUUCUGUGAGCAGGAAAGCAGGGGAUCGCAAGACCUUGCGCUGAUUGAGCGGCCGAUGUCAGAUUAGCUAGUUGGUGAGGUAAAGGCUCACCAAGGCGACGAUCUGUAGCGGGUCUGAGAGGAUGAUCCGCCACACUGGAACUGAGACACGGUCCAGACUCCCACGGGAGGCAGCAGUGGGGAAUUUUGGACAAUGGGGGCAACCCUGAUCCAGCCAUGCCGCGUGAGUGAAGAAGGCCUUCGGGUUGUAAAGCUCUUUCGGCCGGGAAGAAAUCGUAUGGGCUAAUACCCUGUGCGGAUGACGGUACCGGCAUAAGAAGCACCGGCUAACUACGUGCCAGCCGCCGCGGUAAUAC